rnacentral:rRNA from 1 species
GACGAACGCUGGCGGCGUGCUUAACACAUGCAAGUCGAGCGGUAAGGCCCUUUCGGGGGUACACGAGCGGCGAACGGGUGAGUAACACGUGGGUGACCUGCCCUCAGCUCUGGGAUAAGCCUGGGAAACCGGGUCUAAUACCGGAUAUGACUCCAUGACGCAUGUUGUGGGGUGGAAAGCCUUGUGCGGCUGAGGAUGGGCCCGCGGCCUAUCAGCUUGUUGGUGGGGUGAUGGCCUACCAAGGCGUGGACGGGUAGCCGGCCUGAGAGGGUGUUCGGUCACACUGGGACUGAGAUACGGCCCAGACUCCUACGGGAGGCAGCAGUGGGGGAUUUUGCACAAUGGACGAAAGUCUGAUGCAGUGACGCCGCGUGGGGAUGACGGCCU